GACGAACGCUGGCGGCAUGCCUAAUACAUGCAAGUCGAGCGAACAGAUGAAGUGCUUGCACUUCUGACGUUAGCGGCGAACGGGUGAGUAACACGUAAGGAAUCUACCUAUAAGCGGGGGAUAACAUUCGGAAACGGGUGCUAAUACCGCAUAAUAUCUUCUUCCGCAUGGAAGAAGAUUGAAAGACGGCUCUGCUGUCACUUAUAGAUGACCUUGCGGUGCAUUAGUUAGUUGGUGGGGUAACGGCCUACCAAGGCGACGAUCAGUAACUGGUCUGAGAGGAUGAUCAGUCACACCGGAACUGAGACCCGGUCCGGACUCCUACGGGAGGCAGCAGUGGGGAAUAUUGGACAAUGGGCGCAAGCCUGAUCCAGCAAUGCCGCGUGUGUGAAGAAGGCCUUCGGGUUGUAAAGCACUUUAGCCUGGAAAGAAAAAACUUUGGUUAACACCCAAAGUCUUGACGGUACCAGGAGAAUAAGCACCGGCUAACUCUGUGCCAGCAGCCGCCGUAA
rnacentral:rRNA from 1 species